rnacentral:pre_miRNA from 1 species
UUGGCUCAUGUUUGUAUGGAAUGGGAUCGUUUGCGUACGUUUGCCGCUAGGGACGCUGUUCCAACUGCAUACAAAAUUGAGUUA